GGAUUAGAUACCCUGGUAGUCCACGCCGUAAACGAUGUCUACUAGUUGUCGGUUGUCUUGUACGACGGGUAACGCAGCUAACGCGAUAAGUAGACCGCCUGGGGAGUACGGCCGCAAGGUUAAAACUCAAAUGAAUUGACGGGGGCCCGCACAAGCGGUGGAGCAUGUGGUUUAAUUCGAAGCAACGCGAAGAACCUUACCAACUCUUGACAUCCAGAGAACUUGGUAGAGAUACCUUGGUGCCUUCGGGAACGCAGUGACAGGUGCUGCAUGGCUGUCGUCAGCUCGUGUUG
rnacentral:rRNA from 1 species